rnacentral:rRNA from 1 species
UGCGCAGGCGGCGGUUCGCGUGGAUAGAUGAAAUCUCCUGGCUUACCUGGGAAGGAUGGUAUCCAGACGGGAUCGCUUGAGGGUCGGAGAGGGGCGUGGAAUUCCGGGUGGAGCGGUGAAAUGCGUAGAGAUCCGGAGGAACACCGACGGCGUAGGCAGCGCCCUGGACGACACCUGACGCUGAGGCACGAAAGCUGGGGAGCGAACA